rnacentral:rRNA from 1 species
UAGCGAAGGGGGGCUAGCGUUGCUCGGAUUGACUGGGGCGUAAAGGGCGCGUAGGCGGUUCGUACAGUCAGACGUGAAAUUCCUGGGCUCAACCUGGGGGGGCUGCGUUUGAUACGUGCGGACUUGAGUGCGGAAGAGGGUCGGUGGAAUUCCCAGUGUAGAGGUGAAAUUCGUAGAUAUUGGGAAGAACACCGGGUGGCGAAGGCGGCGACCUGGUCCGAUACUGACGCUGAGGCGCGAAAGCGUGGGGGAGCAAACAGG